UUAAGUAACUAAUGGCUUACGGUGGAUACCUUGGCAUUCAGAAGCGAUGAAGGGCGUGACUACCGACGAAAUACUAUGGUUAGCUGGAAGUAAGCUUUGAUCCAUAGGUACCCUAAUAAGUCAACUUCUUGUACUAUUUACUGAAUUUAUAAGUAAAUGAGAGCAAACCUGGUAAAUUGAAACAUCUUAGUAACCAGAGGAAAAGAAAGCAAAAGCGAUUCCCUUAGUAGCGGCGAGCGAAAAGGGAACAGCCUAAACCACUUUAAUGAGUUCUAGUGGGGUUGUGGGACAACUAUAAUAGUAUUAAAUACUAGAUGAAAUAAUUGGAAUAUUAUAUCAAAGAAGGUGAUAAUCCUGUAAUCGAAAGUUUUUAUAGCUAAAGUUGUAUCCCAAGUAGCAUGGGGUACGUGAAAUCCCGUGUGAAUCAACGAGGACCACCUCGUAAGGCUAAAUAUUACUGGAUGACCGAUAGUGAACUAGUACCGUGAGGGAAAGGUGAAAAGAACCCCGGGAGGGGAGUGAAAUAGAACAUGAAACCGUAAGCUUACAAACAGUGGAAGAAUGACUAAACGUUUAACCACGUGCAUGUUGAAGAAUGAGCCGACGACUUGUAGGUAGUGGCAGGUUAAGAUUAGUUAAAUUGGAGCCAUAGUGAAAGCGAGCUUGAAUAGAGCGUUUGUCACUAUUUACAGACCCGAACCCGGAUGAUCUAGCCAUGGCCAGGGUGAAGCUUAGGUAACACUAAGUGGAGGUCCGAACCGACUGAUGUUGAAAAAUCAGCGGAUGAGUUGUGGUUAGUGGUGAAAUGCCAAUCGAAUCCGGAGCUAGCUGGUUCUCCCCGAAAUGCGUUUAGGCGCAGCGUUUGAUGCUUUAGCUUAGGGGUAAAGCACUGUUUCGAUGCGGGCCGUGAGAAUGGUACCAAAUCGAUGCAAACUCUGAAUACUAAGUGUGUAGUCAAUCAGUGAGACAGUGGGGGAUAAGCUUCAUUGUCAAAAGGGAAACAGCCCAGACCACCAUCUAAGGCCCCUAAAUAUAUACUAAGUGAUAAAGGAUGUGGGGAUGUAUAGACAACCAGGAGGUUUGCUUAGAAGCAGCAACCCUUUAAAGAGUGCGUAAUAGCUCACUGGUCAAGUGAUCCUGCGCCGAAAAUGAAAGGGACUAAGUAUAUUGCCGAAGAUGUGGGAUGUUUUACAUCGGUAGGGGAGCGUUCUGUAUUAGGUAGAAGCGUGAGCGAGAGCGGACGUGGACAAAUCAGAAGCGAGAAUGUCGGCUUGAGUAGCGAAAACAUUGGUGAGAAUCCAAUGCCCCGAAAACCUAAGGUUUCCUCUGGAAGGUUCGUCCGCAGAGGGUGAGUCAGGACCUAAGGCGAGGCUGAAAAGCGUAGUCGAUGGAUAACAGGUUAAUAUUCCUGUACUAUUUAUUAUUGGUAUCGAGGGACGAAAAAGGCUAAAUCAGCCGGAUGUUGGUUACCGGUUUAAACUUUUAAGGUGAUGAUAAGUGGGGAAAACAUUUUGAGCUAAAGAGUGAAUACAAGGUACUCAAGUACUAAAGUGAUUGAUGCCAUAUUUCCUAGAAAAGCUUGUAAUAUCUAGAAUAAUAAAUACCUGUACCAUAAACCGACACAGGUGGGUAAGUAGAGAAUACUAAGGGGCGCGAGAUAACUCUCUCUAAGGAACUCGGCAAAAUAGCCCCGUAACUUCGGGAGAAGGGGUACCCUAUAUAGGGUUGCAAUAACUAGGCCCAAGCGACUGUUUAUCAAAAACACAGGUCUCCGCUAAGUUGUAAGACAAUGUAUGGGGGCUGACGCCUGCCCAGUGCCGGAAGGUUAAGGAAGUUGAUAAGCCAUAGAGUGAAGUUGAUAACUGAAGCCCCGGUGAACGGCGGCCGUAACUAUAACGGUCCUAAGGUAGCGAAAUUCCUUGUCGGGUAAGUUCCGACC
rnacentral:rRNA from 1 species